AGUCGUUUAGAAUUGACAAAGCGCUAUGCUUCGAUUUGCCUUGUUGAUUAACAUCACAUUCGUUAUCUCUCUAUUGUGAACUUUUGCCGAUGAAGGAAGGAAGAUACUGAGAUAAAAUCCAUCUUGGGGGCUAAGAACCCAUUAGUAACAGAGUUGUUCCUAUGAUUACUCAAUCUUCACAGGAGCUACUGAGAUAAAUCCAUCUUGGGCUGAGGCACUUUAAGACUCUCUAUUCUCUAUAUCAUACAUGCGUGGACUACUCUUGGAAGAGCACAACUCAAUUUUUGACAGUGCUAUCAGGAGUUUUAAAACCGCCUUAUCUAUCAAUGCGGAAUCAAGAGAGGCGAAAGAGGAUUUACAAGCUGCAAAACAGCUAGCUAGCUAAUAAAGAAGAGAGAACAGCUUCAGAACAGGACACUGACGCUAAACGUUUUGUGGUUGUUGACAAGAAAAUAGACCCAAACUAAUGAACCAGAGACAUGUACUUUAGGUAUAGAGUAGAACUUCGUGUAAGCGU